rnacentral:pre_miRNA from 1 species
AGUACAAAUUGCUGGUUAUAUGCUGUAUGUUUUUAGUUUUUUUAAGAAACUGCCAAACUGUUUUCCAAAGUGGCUGUGUCAGUUUACAUUCUCAUUAGCAAU